GGGGAAUAUUGCACAAUGGGCGCAAGCCUGAUGCAGCGACGCCGCGUGAGGGAUGAAGGCCUUCGGGUUGUAAACCUCUUUCGUCAGGGAACAAGGCACUGCUUUUUUGGUGGUGUUGAGGGUACCUGGAUAAGAAGCGCCGGCUAACUACGUGCCAGCAGCCGCGGUAAUACGUAGGGCGCAAGCGUUGUCCGGAAUUAUUGGGCGUAAAGAGCUCGUAGGCGGCUGGUCGUGUCUGUCGUGAAAACUUCCGGCUCAACCGGGGGCUUGCGGUGGGUACGGGCCGGCUAGAGUGCGGUAGGGGUAACUGGAACUCCUGGUGUAGCGGUGGAAUGCGCAGAUAUCAGGAAGAACACCGAUGGCGAAGGCAGGUUACUGGGCCGUUACUGACGCUGAGGAGCGAAAGCGUGGGGAGCGAACAGGAUUAGAUACCCUGGUAGUCCACGCUGUAAACGUUGGGCACUAGGUGUGAGGCUCCUUUCCGGGGGUUUUGCGCCGUAGCUAACGCAUUAAGUGCCCCGCCUGGGGAGUACGGCCGCAAGGCUA
rnacentral:rRNA from 1 species